rnacentral:rRNA from 1 species
GUCCACGCCGUAAACGAUGGAUACUUGAUGUUGGAGGUUUUGACCCCUUCAGUGUCGCAGCUAACGCGGUAAGUAUCCCGCCUGGGGAGUACGGUCGCAAGAUUAAAACUCAAAGAAAUUGACGGGGGCCCGCACAAGCAGUGGAGCAUGUGGUUCAAUUCGAUGCAACGCGAAAACCUUACCUGGGUUCGAAGUGUAGUGGAAGACAGUAGAGAUAUUGUCGCUCGCAAGAGUCGCUACAUAGGUGCUGCAUGGCUGUCGU